AUAUAAUAUACUGAGUGUGAACAUUCUCAAAACUGUAUUGUAUAUAGUUUAUUUUUUUUAUUGUGUAAAUUUAAUUUUUGUAAAACUAAGGUUCCACGUGUCACUGUUGAAGUGGGGCAUUAAUCAGUGUGACGCCACUUGUAAACGUGUUGCAUGUGUGGGGUUUCCCAGCCAGAGCGGCAUGGAUUCCACACUGGAAUGAGGAGAGGCCUGCUAUUGCUGUGUGACACUGAUUUUGCUGCUGCACUUUGUCUUUUAGAGCGGCAUGGAUUCCACACUGGAAUGAGGAGAGGCCUGCUAUUGCUGUGUGACACUGAUUUUGCUGCUGCACUUUGUCUUUUAGAAAUAAAUCCAGUUUCCAGCCA